rnacentral:lncRNA from 1 species
ACCCACUUUCAAUAGGAAAAUCUUUCAACUCCUCAUGUCGCCAUUUCAAAUCUCUCGUGAUGGUUUAUUGUUCCAUUCCUUCAGCUCCCCCAAAUCUAACAGUCAAUUAAAUUCAAUCUUAAGAUCUCUCUCCAAGCCCUUUCUCAAAAAAGAAAGUUUAUCUCUCUCCCCUUCUUUAUAUGUUUCACUAUUAUCUCCCUUCCUUCGCAUUAGACUCUCUGUAUCUCCCCAAAACUCUCUCU